ensembl:lncRNA
CUUCCAGGGGCGCCAAGAUUCUGCUGCGUAGAUGGAGCCCAAGGCGGCGAGGCUUGUUUCUGGGGAGGUGGAGAACUUUUGACACUCAGUUCCUGCUGUAACAGAGCUGGUUGUCCCUCUGGGCCUGUCUGCGUCCCUGCCUCUUCCUAUAAGGACAUCAGCCACGUUGGAUGAGAGCCCACCCUAGUGACUUCAGGGUGCUCACUCGGUAGUGCCCAGCUCUUUUGUGAUCCCAUGGACCGCGGCAGGCCGGGCUCCCCUCACCUGAGUAGCACGUAAUUCCAUUAGCUAUUGGUCACCACAUGGCUCGUGCAGGAAGCUUUCAAAGAAAAUUAAAGUAAGGGAAGGAAAAAAGAUCUGGCACUGGUUAUUAACUCCACCUCAGGGU